UCAGGAAAUUGGAUAAUCGCCCCGCACCUUUUGGUGAUAUAUUCACAUAUAUGUAAAUAAAAGAUGCGGGGAGGAAAGUCCGAACACCCCAUAGGUGGCAACACUCAUGGAAACAGAAUGUCGCUAACAGCGACCAGGGGAUAAAUCGUUACUCAAGAAAUCGCAAUUGCUUUCUUGAAGCGAGAAAGCCUAGGGAAAGUGCCACAGAGACAAUACUCGUCCUUCGGGACAAAAGGUGAAAAGUGAUACGGUGUCAGGAUCAGUUGAUUCAUAAUGGCUACGUAUCUCGGCCUAUGGCGACAUAGAGCCGUGGUAAACCCAUUCUGGUGAAAGAGCAAAUUUGGUCGCUCGAUCGAGCCCAGCAGUAAUGCCAGGCCUAGAUAAAUGAUUAUCACCUCGCAAGAGGAACAAAAUUCGGCUUACAGAUUUCCUGAAUAU
rnacentral:RNase_P_RNA from 3 species